rnacentral:tRNA from 1 species
UGGCUCAGAGGAUAAAGCGUCUGCCUGCAAUGCAGGAGAUCCGGGUUUGAUCCCUGG